rnacentral:rRNA from 1 species
GAGUUUAAGAAACACUGCCUAAAGGCAUCAGAUCUCAUCUGAUCUUUAAAGUUAAGCAGGAUCAUAUCUGGUUGUACUUGAAUAGGAGACUGAUGAUGAAUACCAAGUUUUGCAGGCU